rnacentral:rRNA from 1 species
GAUGAACGCUGGCGGCGUGCCUAACACAUGCAAGUCGAACGGAGCUGCUUUGAUGAAGUUUUCGGAUGGAUUUAAAACAGCUUAGUGGCGGACGGGUGAGUAACGCGUGGGUAACCUGCCUCACACUGGGGGAUAACAGUUAGAAAUAGCUGCUAAUACCGCAUAAGCGCACGGUUCCGCAUGGAACAGUGUGAAAAACUCCGGUGGUGUGAGAUGGACCCGNGUCUGAUUAGCCAGUUGCGGGGUAACGGCCCACCAAAGCGACGAUCAGUAGCCGGCCUGAGAGGGUGAACGGCCACAUUGGGACUGAGACACGGCCCAAAAUCCUACGGGAGCAGCA